AGUGAACGCUGGCGGUAGGCCUAACACAUGCAAGUCGAACGGCAGCACAGUAAGAGCUUGCUCUUACGGGUGGCGAGUGGCGGACGGGUGAGGAAUACAUCGGAAUCUACUUUUUCGGGGGGGAUAACGUAGGGAAACUUACGCUAAUACCGCACACGACCUACGGGUGAAAGCAGGGGAUCCUCGGACCUUGCGCGAUUGAAUGAGCCGACGUCGGAUUAGCUAGUUGGCGGGGUAAAGGCCGACCAAGGCGAAGAUCCGUAGAUAGUCUGAGAGGCAGACCAGCCACACUGGAACUGAGACACGGUCCAGACUCCUACGGGAGGCCGCAGUGGGGAAUAUUGGACAAUGGGCGAAAGCCUGCUCCAGCAAUGCCGCGUGGGUGAAGAAGGCCUUCGGGUUGUAAAGCCCUUUUGUUGGGAAAGAAAAGCGGCGGGUUAAUACCCCGUGGUUGUGACGGUACCGAAAGAAUAAGCACCGGCUAACUACGUG
rnacentral:rRNA from 1 species